AUUGAACGCUGGCGGCAGGCCUAACACAUGCAAGUCGAGCGGAGCGGCGGACGGGCGAGUAAUGCCUAGGUAUCUGCCUGGCAGUGGGGGAUAACGUCCGGCAACGGGCGCUAAUCCCGCCUACUCUCAGAUGAGCCUAGGUCGGAUUAGCUAGUUGGUGGGGUAAAGGCCUACCAAGGCGACGAUCCGUACCUGGUCGGAGAGGAUGAUCAGUCACACUGGAACUGAGACACGGUCCAGACUCCUACGGGAGGCAGCAGUGGGGAAUAUUGGACAAUGGGCGAAAGCCUGAUCCAGCCAUGCCGCGUGUGUGAAGAAGGUCUUCGGAUUGUAAAGCACUUUAAGUUGGGAGGCGUUACCAACAGAAUAAGCACCGGCUAACUUCGUGCCAGCCGCCGCGGUAAUUC
rnacentral:rRNA from 1 species